ensembl:lncRNA
UAAAACCUUGAAGCUUAAAUGUAACUUACAGUAUAUUGUUAAAAAAAAAAAUUAGGCAGAGCUGAAAGUUUAAAGACAUUAAACAAAUGCAUUAAAAGUGGAUGAAAUCGACUAGUUACCGUGGGAGUGCAAUCAGUACAGUAUUCAGAACAUUUUUAUUUACAUAUCCCAAAGCCAAACAGUCAAGCAGCUUAUUUUUAUAAAAGAGAAAACAUCGGAUGAGUUAUUUCACAGUAUUUAACCUCUCGGCUACUGUAAAUGGCUUUAGUUUAAAUCAGUUUGUUUAUUUAGUACAGGGGUCUCAAACUCGCGGCCCGGGGGCCAAUUGAGGCCCGCGGGAUGAUAUUUUGUGGCCCCCUACUUGACAAAGUUUAGUGUUAGUGCGGCCCGUGCGUUGUUGUCAAACGCACAUUUUUUGUCGCUUGCCACACUUUUUUAUCACUUGUGAUAGGGUGACCAGAUGUCCCGUUGCGUGUCCUGAGUCCCCGGUUGUCAGCGAUUACAUAGCCAAGUUGUGCUACUUUUUUUUGUGGAAUACUGGAUCUGGCCCAGCCUGACCCAGACUCUACCUCCAGUGGCCCCCAAGUAAGUUUAGUUUGAGACCCCUGAUUUAGUGGGAAAACUAGGAUUUAUAUUAGACUGCUUACUAGUCUUUAAAUCCAGAUCCUUAUUAAGUUAUUAAGGCUAGAUUCAGCAAGAGUACAUCUUUGUGCUACGUCUGAUAAAUAAACAUGCUAAAUGCAGAAGAGCCAAACAAUGCUAUUUAUUUUCCAUUUUAAAAGCUAUGUUUUUUUUUUAUCUAUCACUUUUAACGCUAGGGGGAAAUUUAGUUUAGAAGCAUUAUUAAAUUGAUUGAAAUCCUCUAAACAUCGCGAAAGAAAUUCAAUAAAUAACAGAAAAUAAUCCAAUAUUUGUGGUUGUUUAGGUCUGUAAUAAGUCUGGCCAAUUAUUUAAUUUGGCCGAAAGGAAUGAUUGGAUGAUGGAUCCUUCCAAAAGGCGAGGCAGAGCUAUUUCCAAGAGCUAGCGAGCUGGUAGCCUGUUUUGGGGUGUGGCUUUGGAAGUAGGCCUGAAGGGAGGGGUGGGCUUUUUUCAGUUGGAUACUUUCAAAAACUAUUUUACUCUGGCUGAUCCUCCAAAUUGCCUACCCUAGCUUUAACUGCAGGCUGUUUCCCCAAAUGACUCUAAAGUUUGAUGACCAUCUUUGGAAAAAUACAUGCAUGUCCCCGUUUACAUAACAGCAUUCAACAAUGAUAACCUAGUAAGUUUUGUCAUGAACCACGGCUAUCCCGUUCAGGGAGAUGAUUGCACCUUUUGAAAUUCACAUCAUUCAAGUGUCCUCUUAAUUCACAUCUUAAAUAUGUUGCCAUCAAAAUGUAUUCUUAUAGCCCGUCUUUAGUCAGAAAAUCCUACAAAGUUUGUCACACCUUUGUACGAUUUAUUUUAGACAGUGCAAAUUCUUGCGAGGUUUGGAGGUUGAGAGGCGUAAUGUUAGUCAUGCAGGCAUUGCUCGGCAGAUGCUACAGCAAUAGACUGGGGUACAGCCCAAGAACAAGACAGAAAGCCGUGAGACAUAAAUAUUGCCCAGAUCUUAAAUUUUCUGAAAUCUUAUAAGAAAGAAACACUAUGAAAGCUCUUCAAAUUGCUCACAGUGGUUUAACAUUUUUAAUAAGCAAAAGUUAAUUCUUUCUUGAAUGGGAAGAUUUGGAAUGUGAUUAGUGACAGCAGCUUAUAUACAAAAUGCAUUCAUUGCUGAUCAACUUUGAUUGAGAAAAAAACAUAACGUUAAUGAUUUUGAUGCUUUCGCACAAUUGUUGAACGGACAACUGUUGAACUGAAUCACCCAUCCUGAAAAGAUGGGCUCACAUUAAAUAAACUGCAGUUAAAACAUAGCAUUCAACCCAAGCAGAGCAGUCACUCCUUUUCCAUUCACAGACUGCAAUGCACCUAGCAAAGAGCCAAGAUAGACACCAUCAUUCCCUACCCAAAUAAAACAUACGCAACAAAUAAAAAAAUCGAAACGGAAAGCUGUACAAUGCGGCACUUGCUUGCAGUAAGACUUGUUGAGAGGUGGUCCACGUCACGAGCGUAAACAUUAGUUUGUUUGAGGACGCGUACGAUUUUAAGGCUGCCAAAAAUCAACCUCAAUCACAGGGCAUCACAUAAAUGACACCCACCCUGUAGGUUUCACAUUUAGUUGGCAUACAACAUUUGACAAGAGUCUCCAUUGUGGGUUUUGUAUCGGUGCUUACACACACUGUGCUGACCUACAUUGAGAGGGACAGACACUUUGUGUUGCAUAGAUUUGGUUUCUGCGUGACAAUGAAAGUGAUGGAAAUGUUAGCUAUGACAGAUUUAGAACGCGGGGUCUAUUUGUCAGCCAAACAAUAUGGGAUUUAGAAGAAUUCCAAGAGAGCGGUCUUGUGGAUAAUCGUCUUUUCAACUUUCUUUCUUUUUAAACCCAUGAAAAAAAGUAGAACACCACCACCUAAACAUUUACUUUCCCCCCUAAUGCAUGAAUGAUUCUGAUAUAGUUUCUGCUAAAUGCGCGGGUAAAUACACGGAAAUCAGAAAAACAUAUAGAACAUGUAUGGAAAUCAUACAGCAAUUAAAAAAAAAACAUGGUUUAAUCCAGUCUGCAAUCGAAGGACCAGAGAUAAAUUAAAGAUCACUAUACUAGUUUAUUUAGACGGCAAACUGCUGAACAGAUGGUGGUUUAUCCUACAUCGUAUAGCCCUGGCGAACCUCUGUGGACCCGCAUGUGACGUGUUUUCGGGAAAUUAGCAAAGAUUUAAAAAAUAAAUUAUUCAUUAAUGCUGCUGCUUUUACAGUAUAAAUCUGUGGGAUGUGUUGAUAACGGAGAGUGGUUUUGAAAUGAAAUAGAUGGCUGUUUGCUACAGUGAUACGCUAUAAGAUGUCUUUUGCGGCACCAACAAACAACUUGGUAACACAUGACAUUUUUUUUUAAUUCUAAAUUAGUAUGAGAAAAGAUUAAAUUAAACAGAAUUGUAAUAGUUAGUUAUUUUCGAAUGUACAGCAUAACAUAACCUAAAGAUUAUUUUGGACGUAACAACCCUAGUAUUUGUAGGCUAUUUUGAGGCGUGUUAGAAGUCAUUAAAAUAAAAACACAAAUACACUUUAGUGUACAUAUUUAGAAAAAUAGAAUAGUAUAUUUUUACACCACGGUGCAUCGUUUUGAAAUGCACUGUGGCUGAGGUUGUAUUUGCUGGUGUGGGACCACAUUCAGAGUUACUAACUCAAAGACGGAACUACACAUUAAAACCAAUGUGAUAAUUGUAAACAUUGAAUAAUGUGUAUUGUAAUACAAGCAAUGUAAUUCAGCUUGCGACAGGCUUUUAAGAAUUUGUGGUUAGAACUAAUAUUGUUGCAUACCACAUAAUUUAAUAAUAGACAUUUAAGAGUUUCCACCAGAUAUUCUUAGGGAAAGCCUAUUCUUCUUUUCAAAAUCCUAGAUUAAACGAAUGGCUUUCAUUAACACAAUUUUUCUUGUGAUAUUGGAUAUAUAGACUUGUGUAAAAGUCUAAAGACAAUUUGUCUUGUCUUUUACAUAAUAUCUCUUUCAUUUAUAAGUGAUGAGAAAUAUGGCUCUCAAAAUGAAAUUCCGAAAAGUGUUUGUUUCCAGGUUUUUCUAAUCGAUAUCCAAAUUAUUAUAUACAUAUAAUUAUAACCAUCACAGCAACCCUUAAUUAAAAAAAA